GUCUUCUUGAUAAAAUAGGAAGUCUGACCUGCCCAGUGAAAAUAUUUUAACGGCCGCGGUAUAUUGACCGUGCAAAGGUAGCAUAAUCAUUAGUCUUUUAAUAGGGGGCUGGAAUGAAGGGUUUAACGAAGUACUUACUGUCUCAUUUAAUUUGAUAAUAGAAUUUACUUUUUCAGUCAAAAAGCUGAAAUAUUAUUGGAAGACGAGAAGACCCUAUAGAGCUUUAUAUUUAAUUAUCUAAUAAAUUUUUGUUAUAAUUAUUAUUUAUUAUUUAAUAAAAUAUUUUGUUGGGGUGACAAAAAUAUAUAAUUAACUUUUUUAUUUAUAUAACAUUGAUAUAUGAAAAUUAGAUCCAGUUUUACUGAUUGUUAGAAUAAGUUACCUUAGGGAUAACAGCGUAAUCUUCCUUUAGAGUUCAUAUUCACAGGGAGGCUUGCGACCUCGAUGUUGGAUUAAGAUUAUAAUUAGGUGUAGCCGCUUAAUAAAUAGGUCUGUUCGACCUUUAAAUUCUU
rnacentral:rRNA from 1 species